rnacentral:rRNA from 1 species
ACGGCCUUCGGGUUGUAAACCUCUUUUAGUAGGGAAGAAGCGAAGUGUUUUACACAGAGUGACGGUACCUGCAGAAAAAGCACCGGCUAACUACGUGCCAGCAGCCGCGGUAAUACGUAGGGUGCAAGCGUUAUCCGGAAUUAUUGGGCGUAAAGAGCUCGUAGGCGGUUUGUCGCGUCUGCUGUGAAAACUGGGGGCUCAACCCCCAGCCUGCAGUGGGUACGGGCAGACUAGAGUGCGGUAGGGGAGAUUGGAAUUCCUGGUGUAGCGGUGGAAUGCGCAGAUAUCAGGAGGAACACCAAUGGCGAAGGCAGAUCUCUGGGCCGUAACUGACGCUGAGGAGCGAAAGCAUGGGGAGCGAACAGGAUUAGAUACCCUGGUAGUCCAUGCCGUAAACGUUGGGAACUAGAUGUAGGGGCCAUUCCACGGUUUCUGCGUCGCAGCUAACGCAUUAAGUUCCCCGCCUGGGGAGUACGGCCGCAAGGCUAAAACUCAAAGGAAUUGACGGAAUCACUA